rnacentral:rRNA from 1 species
UACGUAGGCAGCGAGCGUUGUUCGGAAUUACUGGGCGUAAAGAGUGUGUAGGCGGCAUAAUAAGUUAUUUGGUGGGAAAUCGAGGCUCAACCUCGUGGAAACUGAUAAUACUGUUUUGCUUGAGUACAGGAGAGGUUAACGGAACUCCAUGUGGAGCGGUAAAAUGUGUAGAUAUAUGGAAGAACAUCAAUAACGGCGAAGGCAGUUAACUAUUCUGUUACUGACGUUGAGGCACGAAAGCGUGGGGGAGCAAAAAGG